rnacentral:rRNA from 1 species
GUAGGGGGCCAGCGUUGCUCGGAAUUACUGGGCGUAAAGGGUUCGUAGGCGGUGCGGUAAGUCGAGAGUAAAAUCUCCAGGCUCAACUUGGAGGCGCCUCCCGAAACUGCCGUGCUCGAGUGCUGGAGAGGCGAGUGGAAUUGCAGGUGUAGCGGUGAAAUGCGUAGAUAUCUGCAGGAACACCAGUGGCGAAGGCGGCUCGCUGGACAGCAACUGACGCUGAGGAACGAAAGCUAGGGGAGCAAACAGGAUUAGAUACCCUGGUAGUCCUAGCCCUAAACGAUCAGGUCUUGAGGUGAGCCCCGUUCGGGGUUUGUCUCGUAGCCAACGCGAUAAGACCUGCGCCUGGGGAGUACGGUCGCAAGACUUG